CCUACGGGUGUCAGCAGUGGGGAAUAUUGGACAAUGGGGGCAACCCUGAUCCAGCCAUGCCGCGUGUGUGAAGAAGGCCCUCGGGUUGUAAAGCACUUUCAGUGAGGAAGAACGCCUGGUGGUUAAUACCCAUCAGGAAAGACAUCACUCACAGAAGAAGCACCGGCUAACUCCGUGCCAGCAGCCGCGGUAAUACGGAGGGUGCGAGCGUUAAUCGGAAUUACUGGGCGUAAAGCGCGCGUAGGUGGCUUGAUAAGCCGGUUGUGAAAGCCCCGGGCUCAACCUGGGAACGGCAUCCGGAACUGUCAAGCUAGAGUGCAGGAGAGGAAGGUAGAAUUCCCGGUGUAGCGGUGAAAUGCGUAGAGAUCGGGAGGAAUACCAGUGGCGAAGGCGGCCUUCUGGACUGACACUGACACUGAGGUGCGAAAGCGUGGGUAGCAAACAGGAUUAGAUACCCCGGUAGUC
rnacentral:rRNA from 1 species